UCACAAUUGAUUGAGACAUUUUGGAUGAUCAUCUCAAAAUGUUUUAGACCGAUCCUGAUAAACAAAUUUCAUCAUAUAGUCGGGAGUUCGUUGAUCUUUUCUUUCUAAAACCAAUUGUGAUAAUAGUUGGUUGCCUUCCGUGAAGGAACAGAGUUGCUUUUGUACAACUUCCAAGAAUUUUAGACAUUACCUGAGUUAUUGACGUCAGUCAUAUAAUCCUAAGGAUUAAUAUACGAAAUUAUUAUAUAUGUUGAUUAUUUCCUAGCGAUUUACUUGAAGUUGCAGAUAAAUGCGGGCAAAUAAAUAUAGACCAAAGUUGAGCAUAACGUCCAUUUUAAGUCCUAAACUUUUUUGUUAUGCUUUCUUCAGGAGACAUUGCCCUCUUCUCUGAACGCUUCUGAAGACAUUAUAUAAUAGUGGUUAAUGUGUAUAAAUAUUCAAAUUCUAAUCAAAAUGUAUGAAGUGGAAACGAGUGCAAUUGCAGAGCAAUGGGUAAAUUUUAUUAUUUGACAAAAGAAGUGAUUGUCGACAACUAGGUUAUGAAAUGAUGAACAGCAAGAAGUUUAUAUAAAAGAUCACGUGGAGAGCAAAAUCAAGAAAUCAUUGAUGUUAACGAGGAAUAGGCUGGUCACUGGAAUGGAUUUUUAACGGAUAUUGUACGGAAAUUAUUAACUAAAAUAACGGAAUUACAGGGAGUGAACGACGUCUAUCAGGCAAACAAUAUAAGAAAACAAGUCGUUCUCUUCAAAUCCUGAUCGACCAACGUCAAAGUAGAAAUGUGUCAUUCUUGACAAUAUCCGCUGAAAGAAAUCUUCAUUGCUUGAUCAUAAGCAAUGCUGUUCGUCAAA